rnacentral:rRNA from 1 species
UUUAAUUCGAAGCAACGCGAAGAACCUUACCAAAUCUUGACAUCCUCUGACCCCUCUAGAGAUAGAGGUUUCCCCUUCGGGGGACAGAGUGACAGGUGGUGCAUGGUUGUCGUCAGCUCGUGUCGUGAGAUGUUGGGUUAAGUCCCGCAACGAGCGCAACCCUUAAGCUUAGUUGCCAUCAUUAAGUUGGGCACUCUAAGUUGACUGCCGGUGACAAACCGGAGGAAGGUAGGGAUGACGUCAAAUCAUCAUGCCCCUUAUGAUUUGGGCUACACACGUGCUACAAUGGACAAUACAAAGGGCAGCGAAACCGCGAGGUCAAGCAAAUCCCAUAAAGUUGUUCUCAGUUCGGAUUGUAGUCUGCAACUCGACUAUAUGAAGCUGGAAUCGCUAGUAAUCGUAGAUCAGCAUGCUA